UGUUUGUUUAGCAGUCUGAUCAGAGAUGAUGGAAGAAGUGGAGGGGCAGACAGUGAAACCGGUCCGGUCUGGAGAGUUGCUGGAAGUUAGUUUUUCACAAGGUCUGUACAACAAGUUACUGGUAAACACAAAGAACAGCAAAAAUGGAUUGUCCUCUCCAAUUGUUAGAAUGCCACGGAGCAGCAUACUUGACCGAGUCCAGAGCUUCCUGCCUCAGAUGGCCUCAGCCAAUGAAAAACUCAACAAA